rnacentral:sRNA from 1 species
GUAAUGGUUUCAAUCUUCUAAUCCGCUUCUAAUAGUUACUUUUCGAGAUGUUUCUAAAAGACCCGAGUUGAAUAUUGGUUUUUAGAGAGCUGGGAAAUGUUGGAUUCAUGGCAAAUAAAACCUGCUAAGUAGAAAAUAAUGCGUCACGCGGAUACUUUCAGAAGAAGUCAUCCGCAUAGAAAACAACAGGAUAUUUGCUGUUUGUUUCCAUUUGAUUUCAAUCUUGAGCGAUUUUCUGCUGAUAAAAAAGCCAAUUUACAGCAAGUAUAUAAAGACUGCUAAGAAAGUUUCAGAAAAUCAAUCAGGGACAAGACGGGCUGAAUUAUUAGAAGACGAUUGCUUGAACUUGAUUAAGGACUCUACUGAAUAGCGGCUGGAUAACGUUUGUUUAUCAUAGAUCAAACUCAAGAAUGACCAAGCUGGUCUUCACACUUCUGGUGGCAGCUCUCCUGUGCUUCUACGCCGUUAGGAUCGCUUCCGCGAGUUUCGACUGGUUCGAUUCGGACAACAGCGCCGAGCUGGAGUCCCGGUGCUUCAACCAAUGUGCUGAGAUCAACAACUGCCAGAGCAACGUAACAUGCUAUUUAGAGUGCUGCAGGUCAUGUGAUGAUUAGAUUCAACCAUAUGUUUUCAUUACGAAUGACAUUGAUCUCUCAAGACUAACAAUGACAAACUGCUUUCACUUGCUUGAUACAUCUCCGAUAGAAAGCAACAAGCUCUGUUGUUACUCUGUAGUUUGACUAUAGUAAUUAACACGAGGGUUGCACUCUUAAGUCACACGAGGACUUCACACCAUGGGAGUGGAUAUGCGGCUGGGUGCAUGCUCUAUAAAUAUUUAAGUUCUAUGUAACGGAAGGUGUUCAUCUAAUUAUAAACGUAAAGUGUAUUUAAAAGAAAUAGUAAACAUCUUUUUAUGGUUCAAA